GGAUGAACGUUGGCGGUGUGGCUAACAGUUGGAUCUCGAACGAUCCUUCGGGAGAGUGGCGCACGGGUGAGUAACACAUAGCUGACCCGCCUCGCAGGGUGGGAUAACGGCUCGAAAGAGCUGCUAAUACCGCAUAAGCUCACGGUCUUUAGAGGGCGGUGAGAAAAGGGGAAACCCGCUGGGAGAGGGGGCUGCGGCCCAUCAGCUAGUUGGCGCGGUAACGGCGCACCAAGGCGACGACGGGUAGGGGACCUGAGAGGGUGACCCCCCACACUGGGACUGAGACACGGCCCAGACUCCUACGGGAGGCAGCAGUGAGGAAUAUUGCACAAUGGGCGCAAGCCUGAUGCAGCGACGCCGCGUGGGUGACGAAGGUCUUCGGAUCGUAAAGCCCUUUUCUGCGUGACGAGGAACGGACGGUAGCGCAGGAAUAAGUCUCGGCUAACUACGUGCCAGCAGCCGCGGUAAAACGUAGGAGACAAACGUUAUCCGGAGUUACUGGGCGUAAAGGGCGUGCAGGCGGUUGAUUAAGUCUGGCGUGAAAGCACCCGGCUAAACCGGGCGAGGUCGUUGGAGACUGAUCAACUCGAGGACGGUGGAGGCGAGUGGAAUUCCGGGUGUAGUGGUGAAAUGCGUAGAGAUCCGGAGGAACACCAGUGGCGAAGGCGACUCGCUGGGCCGUACCUGACGCUAAGACGCGACAGCAUGGGGAGCGAACGGGAUUAGAAACCCCGGUAGUCCAUGCCGUAAACGAUGCCAGCUAGGUGUUCAGGGGCGCAAGCCUUCGGGGUACCGCAGCUAACGCGCUAAGCUGGCCGCCUGGGGAGUACGGUCGCAAGGCUAAAACUCAAAGGAAUUGACGGGGGCCCGCACAAGCAGCGGAGCGUGUGGUUUAAUUCGAGGCUACACGAAGAACUUUACCUGGGUUUGACAUCUACGUAGUAGGGAACCGAAAGGGGACCGACCUUCGGGAGCGUAGACAGAUGCUGCAUGACUGAUCGUCAGCUCGUGCCGUGA
rnacentral:rRNA from 1 species